rnacentral:rRNA from 1 species
UACGUAGGCAGCGAGCGUUGUUCGGAGUUACUGGGCGUAAAGAGUGCGUAGGCGGUUUUCUAAGUUUGGUGUGAAAUCUCCCGGCUCAACUGGGAGGGUGCGCCGAAGACUGGAAGGCUUGAGUAUGGGAGAGGUAAGCGGAAUUCCUGGUGUAGCGGUGAAAUGCGUAGAUAUCAGGAGGAACACCGGUGGCGAAGGCGGAUCUCUGGGCCUGUCCUGACGCUCAGGCGCGAAAGCGUGGGGAGCAAACAGG